AUACCUUGGGUGGGGUAGUGGGGGAGGGACUAGUACCAGUAUAUUUUGCAAGGUACGUGAACGGGACUCCCACACCUCCUCUGCAUCUGUGAAAAGUGCCUGCUUGCAUUGAGUUGCGGUUGACAAAGCAGUUGGGAAACAAGGUCCUGCAACCAUGGCUGUCCAAGGUCUCAUCGUCCUUGGCAUUUUAGCCAUCGCCGCCAUCGUUAUUGUUUACGUUGUCGGUCAGGAGAAGAAGAAAAUACACCUGAAGCGGGAAAGGAAGGAUCCUUUCACAGGUACCCAUUUUACAGAGGAGAGAUAUGUGAAGGAAAUGAGAUUGAUGCAACGAAGAUAAUCAAGACUUUCAUGAUUUUGCAGAGAAAGAAAAAAAAGUACAAGUUAUAAAGAAUUUCAAAAGCUGCUUUAAUGUGCUUCCCAACAUGGAAGUGCAGUCAACUCAUGCAAUUGCCUUGAUUGGCUACCUGUCUUUGAUAUAUAGAUAUGACAUUUUUGUGUGUCUGCAUCUGUCCUGCCAGUAAAAUCACAGAAGCCUGGCUACGUACUGUGCAUAGUAAAGGAACCAUUUCAAAUAUGCUUUCAAAAUGUGUUGUCGUGUGUGUAAAUGCGCCUAUAUGUUGCAGUAUUACAUGAGGUCACUAGAUGGCAGUCACCUCACAACCUCUGAGGAUGCCUGCCAUAGAUGUGGGUUUAUUUAU